rnacentral:misc_RNA from 1 species
GGAUAGCUCCACAAUGGCAGUAGCUGAUCCAUUCUUUCUUGAGCUUCUCAAGGAUGAGAAUGAUGGUCUAGCUGAACGUCAUUGGGCUUCUCCUGCAGUAGCUGCGGCUAUACAAUCAGCAGUUAGCACGUCUAUGUCUGAUAGGCUGAAACAAGCACUGAGAAUAACACCGCGGCUGCUUGAUAUGUAUACUGCUAUAGCGAUCCGUGAAGUCAAUGAUUCUCUUAUUUGUGCUCUGGUUCCCCUACUUAUGGCAAGAUAUUCCAAUCUAUUCCCAGAAAAGUUAUUCUUGUACGAGGUUCAAAAGAGGAUCUUAGAGCUCAUGCUUGCUGGCUUUAAUCGAUCUCCCAGUUUCAUUGCACUUCUGAAGAAGCCUAUAGUGGACAGACUUGGAGAAGCUUAUGAUAGUCCGUCGAAGACUGAACUGGCAUUACAAUUAUGCUGGGCAAUCGGGGAGCAUGGAGGAGGUGGUGAAGCCCACAAAGAUGCUGCUCGUGAACUCUUUGAGAGCUUGGAAUUACUUCUCUAUGAAAACCUUUCAUCAAGCCGUGUGCGUCUGCGUGAAUCAGCUCUUGGCUCUGAUUCCGCAAAAUCCAGAAAAUCAUCACAAUCAAGGCUAUUAUGUUUUGUUGUGACUGCCAUUGCAAAGCUUGC